rnacentral:rRNA from 1 species
UACGGAGGGGGCUAGCGUUGUUCGGAAUUACUGGGCGUAAAGCGCACGUAGGCGGCUUUGUAAGUUAGAGGUGAAAGCCCGGGGCUCAACUCCGGAAUUGCCUUUAAGACUGCAUCGCUAGAAUUGUGGAGAGGUAAGUGGAAGUCCGAGUGUAGAGGUGAAAUUCGUAGAUAUUCGGAAGAACACCAGUGGCGAAGGCGACUUACUGGACACAUAUUGACGCUGAGGUGCGAAAGCGUGGGGAGCAAACAGG